rnacentral:rRNA from 1 species
UACGAAGGGGGCUAGCGUUGUUCGGAAUCACUGGGCGUAAAGCGCACGUAGGCGGAUUGUUAAGUCGGGGGUGAAAUCCUGAGGCUCAACCUCAGAACUGCCUUCGAUACUGGCAAUCUCGAGUCCGGAAGAGGUUGGUGGGAACAGCUAGUGUAGAGGUGAAAUUCGUAGAUAUUAGCUAGAACACCAGUGGCGAAGGCGGCCAACUGGUCCGGUACUGACGCUGAGGCGCGAAAGCGUGGGGAGCAAACAGG